rnacentral:tRNA from 1 species
UCUUGGUUAGCUUAGUUGGCAGAGCACUCUACUGGAAAUAGAGAGUCCUUAGAUCGAUACCAAGACCAGGCG